rnacentral:rRNA from 1 species
UAGAUUUUCUUCGGAAAAUUGAGAGCGGCGUACGGGUGCGGAACACGUGUGCAACCUACCUUUAUCUGGAGGAUAGCCUUUCGAAAGGAAGAUUAAUACUCCAUAAUAUACAACAAGGCAUCUUGAAGUAUUGAAAGCUCCGGCGGAUAGAGAUGGGCACGCGCAAGAUUAGCUAGUUGGUGAGGUAACGGCUCACCAAGGCAAUGAUCUUUAGGGGGCCUGAGAGGGUGAUCCCCCACACUGGUACUGAGACACGGACCAGACUCCUACGGGAGGCAGCAGUGAGGAAUAUUGGACAAUGGGUGCAAGCCUGAUCCAGCCAUCCCGCGUGAAGGACGACUGCCCUAUGGGUUGUAAACUUCUCUUGUAUAGGGAUAAACCUUUCCACGAGUGGAAAGCUGAAGGUACUAUACGAAUAAGCACCGGCUAACUCCGUGCCAGCAGCCGCGGUAAUACGGAGGGUGCAAGCGUUAUCCGGAUUUAUUGGGUUUAAAGGGUCCGUAGGCGGACUUAUAAGUCAGUGGUGAAAUCCUGUCGCUUAACGAUAGAACUGCCAUUGAUACUGUAAGUCUUGAGUAUAUUUGAGGUAGCUGGAAUAAGUAGUGUAGCGGUGAAAUGCAUAGAUAUUACUUAGAACACCAAUUGCGAAGGCAGGUUACCAAGAUAUAACUGACGCUGAGGGACGAAAGCGUGGGGAGCGAACA